rnacentral:rRNA from 1 species
UACGUAGGGUGCGAGCGUUAAUCGGAAUUACUGGGCGUAAAGCGUGCGCAGGCGGUCUUGUAAGCCAGAUGUGAAAUCCCCGGGCUUAACCUGGGAAUGGCAUUUGGGACUGCAAGGCUUGAGUGCGGCAGAGGAGACUGGAAUUCCUGGUGUAGCAGUGAAAUGCGUAGAUAUCAGGAGGAACACCGAUGGCGAAGGCAGGUCUCUGGGCUGACACUGACGCUCAUGCACGAAAGCGUGGGGAGCAAACAGG